rnacentral:tRNA from 1 species
GCGGACGAAGCUCAGUGGUUAGAGCACUACGUCCUGGACGUAGGGGUCGAGAGUUCGAAUCUCUCCGUCCGCUCCA